ACCGCUCCCCUCUAGUCGGGAAGAGGUGCCGUGUGCUCUUCCUGCUGCAGAUGGCACUGCCUGGCGUCCCCGCGAAGGCAGCCGGAGUGUGAGCCCUGGAGGGUCAGAGCAGAGCAUGCCGUCCUGAGCUCAGAACAAGACGUCAGGAUUGUGAGAAGCCGCGGACGUUUACAGUCACGUGUCCGAUACGCACCUGGGGCCCGAGGUUCAGUGUAGCCUCCUUCAGGGCAGAGCGGUCACGUGACCCACACCUUGGCCGUGCCUGUUUGGGACAGCGGCCAUGCCAGACCGAGUCUCCAAAGACGGCUGGAGAUGAAGCUCCAAGUGAAGGCCCUGGGCUCAGUCCCCAGUGCCCCGCACACAAGCGUGCGGGCCCUCACUCAGGCACAAGCUACAGCUCGGGAUCCGUCCUCCAGUCCACUGGCUCCUACGCGAGGCACCGUUAAGCAGAGGCGAUAUCACACCCCGGAGCACGGCUGAGGCCAGCCGCCCUCACAGCCGUGAAUGGCAGCGUCUGGCGGUGCGGAAACUGGUUUCUGGAGUGACUUGCAGUGUGUUGCGCUCAGCUGGACGGUGACUAUGGUGGCAGCCCUGUCUCGAGGUGCACGGUGUCCUGACUGGAACAACUCCACGUGGUUCCUGGUGUGCGAUAACUCACGAAAGGCUCAGGUACCAGGGAUUGAACUCAGGUCCUUGUGCUUGUGAGGCAGGCAGCAGAACCACUGAGCUAAAUCCCCAGUCCUUCUUUGUCUCUCUUAAUAGUCUUGGCUUGAAAUCCACUUUGUCUGCAAAUAAGAUAGCAACUCCUGCUUUUUUCCAGUUUCCUGUUUCAUGGAAUAUUGUUUUCCAUCCCUUGACUUUCAGUCUGUG
rnacentral:lncRNA from 1 species